rnacentral:lncRNA from 7 species
GGAAUCAUCAGUGCAUCUGAGGAGUCAGGGGGAGAGGGAAAAGCGAAUAUGCAGCUGCUACACUAAGAGAAGAGGUAUCAGCUAACAAGUUAUCUUUUGGACUCGAGGGGAAAUUAAAACAAACAAACAAAAAACCCCACAAAACAGGAAAGCUACAACUUCAGUAUUAAUGAAAAUCUUGAGAGAAGAGGCCAGUCAGAAAUAGUGCCAACGCUAUGGAUAUUCAUCUUUUUGAUGUCUCAGAUCAGUGUUAGAAAAUCAGAAUUUGUUUUCAGACAUUUCCUAUGAAUGCUCACUUAUUAAGUCAGUGAUGGUUCAUGGAUUUUGCCAUUGUGGAAGCUUAUUCUAGUUUACACAUCUGAAAUGCUGUGAAUGAUAGUUGCCAUAGGAGUACUUUAAAUAUGGAAAUAUUGUCUGUUCUAUGCUGCUAAAUUAAUCAAAAUUUUUGUAGAUAUGAUUAUAAGCUUAUUGGUUUACUGUGUCUAAAAAAUAAUGGAAUAAUCUAGGUUAGAAAAAUUCUUUAAGGUUAUCAGUUCCAGCUGUCAGCUUGAUGUCCCUCCGUGUCUCUUAGUGCCACAUCCGCAGGACUUUGUAAUACCUGUAGGGACAGGGACUCCAGCGGUACUCACAAGUCCUAGAAAAUACAUUGUGGAAGCAAAACAGCAACUUGUAUCUUCACACAUUAACUUCCUCAAGAUUCACACUUCAUUAAGUAUCAAAUAGUAAAUUUUAAUUUUGACUUUUUUUUUCCUUGAUGCUUCAGUUCUAUUAAGGAAAAUAAAUGUGAUGCUUUUCAUUUAAGCUAGUGCACCUUUAUUGUGCUGAAAUUAUAAUUCCAGCUAUUUCUAUUAAUUCAGCCAUCCUUCUCAGGUUAAUUGAAAAGAAGCUUAUCUUUUGGGCUACCUCUCAUUUAAGGUAGCGUUUGAUAUAAAUGAGAAUUGGUCCUGUACUUUAAAAAAAAUGAAUGCAAAAAUGGUUACGUUAAAUCCCAUAUCCCAUUUAGAAGAUUCUCCGUAGUUUCUCACUGAUGUCAAAUCACGUUUGUUGUGUCACGAUGCUGCAAUGUUUAUUUCUUCACAAAUUUUACUCCUUGUCAUUCUGUGAACUAAAAAUAAUCUUUUUAACUUGAUAUAAUCAAUCUGUACUUCUAUGAUAAUAAAUUGAAAAAUCCAUGCACCUACCUACCUUGAUAAGAAUGUAGAGAAAAUAAAAGCAUAGUAUAUUUCUUCCAGUGCUAAAAUCCAAGGGGAGAAACAGAAACAGCAUUAUUUAAUAAUUACAGUAUAAAAAUGUAAUUCAGAAGUAGAGUUGUGAAAGUAAAUCAUCCAUGGAUAUGUACUUUAAUUUGAAAAUAACUCAUGUUACCUAUGACC